GGGAGAGGCAGAGAAAGGAAGACAGAGGAUCUGAAGCAGGCUUCAUGCUGGCAACAGAGAGUCCAAUGUGGGGGUCAAACUCAUGAACCAUGAGAUCAUGAGCUGCAGUUGGACUCUUAGCCAACAGAGCCACCCAGCCAGCCACUGGGUUAUUUGUUUUUUGGGUGUUGAGUUUGAGAGACAGAGCAUGAGUGGGGAAGGGGCAGAGAGAGAGGGAGACAGAAUCUGAAGCAGGCCCCAGGCUCCGAGCUGUCAGCACAGAGCCCAACACGGGGCUCGAACUCACGGACCACAAGAUCAUGACCUGAGCCAAAGUCAGACGCUCAACCAACUAAACCACACAGGCGCCCCUAAAUGUGUCUUUCUACCUCAAGGGCGUUAUUAAUUCCCAAUGUCUAAAAUAGUACCUACUGUUCUUCUAACAUCAGUUAGGAAUAUAUUUGGCUGCAAGUAACAACAACAACAAACCAUGAACUUAACAAAUUUUAGCCACCUAAGAAGAAAUCCAAAGGUUUGAACUGAAACAUCGGCUCUUGUUGGGUCUGGAGGCUGCCAGCUUUUGGAUGGAAACCACACUGUCAGCAAUCCUGGUUAUCAGGCCUUUGGACUUGGACUGGAACAAAAUCAUCGGCUCUCCUGGGUCUCCAGCUUGCCAACUCACUGCAGAUCUUGGGACUUACCUUCUUCCAUAAUCACAUGAGCCAAUUCCUUGCAAUCAAUUGCUCAAACUUAUUGGUUCUGUUUCUAUGGAGAACCCUGACUGAUACAGAAUGAUAUUGUUAUGAUUGGUUCAAAGUGCUGUACAACACAAAUAUAAUGUGAGUCAUUUGUGUAAUUCAAAGUCUUCUAGUAGCCACAUUAAAAACACGAAGAGGUGAAA